rnacentral:sRNA from 1 species
UCAUUAGAGAUCUGGUGCGCGAUGUUG